rnacentral:rRNA from 1 species
UCGGAUUGGAGUCUGNAACCCGACUCCAUGAAGCUGGAUUCGCUAGUAAUCGCGCAUCAGCCAUGGCGCGGUGAAUACGUUCCCGGGCCUUGUACACACCGCCCGUCAAGCCAUGGAAGCCGGGGGCGCUUGAAGUGCGUUGCCGCAAGGCGCGCCCUAGAGCGAAACCGGUGACUGGGGCUAAGUCGUAACAAGGUACC